rnacentral:tRNA from 1 species
AAGGACUUAGGCUAAUUANACCAAAGGCCUUCAAAGCNUUUAGCAGGAGUUAAAAUCUUCUAGCCCUUG